AUUGAACGCUGGCGGCAUGCCUUACACAUGCAAGUCGAACGGCAGCACGGGGGCAACCCUGGUGGCGAGUGGCGAACGGGUGAGUAACAUAUCGGAACAUACCCUAGAGUGGGGGAUAACGUAGCGAAAGUUACGCUAAUACCGCAUACGAUCUAAGGAUGAAAGUGGGGGGAUCUUCGGACCUCAUGCUCAUGGAGUGGCCGAUAUCUGAUUAGCUAGUUGGUGAGGUAAAGGCUCACCAAGGCGACGAUCAGUAGCUGGUUUGAGAGAACGACCAGCCACACUGGAACUGAGACACGGUCCAGACUCCUACGGGAGGCAGCAGUGGGGAAUUUUGGACAAUGGGGGCAACCCUGAUCCAGCAAUGCCGCGUGAGUGAAGAAGGCCU
rnacentral:rRNA from 1 species